AUGGAACAGAUACUUCGUAGUUUUCUUCAAACUUGUAUAGCUCAAGGGAUUUUGAGGUCUAGCAGGACAGGUACACAGAGGUUCAGCUUCUGGAUCAGAUCCUCCUGGUAUAGGGAGUUGGAUACAACCAACUCUACAACUCGUCUAUCUCUGGAGCCCAUUGGAGAUGUCAAGGCCACUGCACACUGUUUUUCUUUACUUUGGGUAGUGCAAAUAAACUGUCACCAGAAUUCCAUUCAGGAUGACACAUUACAUUCGGUAUGUCUUCUUAGAAUCCUCUGGGCUGUGACAGUAUCUCAGAAUUUCCUUGCUUUUGAACAUACUGAGUUUUGGACCAAGUAG
rnacentral:lncRNA from 1 species